rnacentral:sRNA from 1 species
CCCUAGCCCUGAUAGAAGCGGCAUCCUUUUUAGGCAAACGAAAAUAUCUCAUUCAACCGAAAAUAUUAUGCCUAAAAAGAUAUAGCGAAUAGCAGGAAUCAGC